rnacentral:rRNA from 1 species
GGGUGCUGAGGGGUGCUGGAGAGGGAGGGAAGAUCUAGCGCGUGGGCGCGUGGGCGCGCGGGGCUUGGGCGGCUGAGCGGGGCCGCGGGGUAGCGGUAGCGGCUGGAGGGGCAGUGGCCUCGGGAAGGGCUCGGCUGCGGAGCGGUAGGGUCGGCGCAAGCGGCGUCGAGGGGCGCCAGGGCCGCUCGUGUGGGCGCGGGCUGCUGACGGCGGAGGCCGGGCGUCGAAGAAGGGGCAGGAACGAGGCGUGGACGUCGUGGUGGCCGACGGCGGCGGCAGCAACAACCUUGGAGGGGCUGGAGGAGGAGCGGCCUAGACGCGGCGGCUGGGCAACGGGCUGGGGCUGAGGAGGGGCGCGGGCGGAGCGAGUUGAUGUCCCGAAA